UUUGAAACACCGGUUCCCGUACGAUCACCGAAGUUAAGCAAUAUCAAACGUGGUUAGUACCUAAAUGGUACUGACCAGGCGCAAAUGGUAACCGCUUGGGAAUACCAGGUGCUGUAA